UCGCUGCUAAGCUAUCGCCGCUGCCAACCUAUCUAUUGCUGCAAGCUAUCCCUCACUGCUAAGCUAUCCCUCGCUGCUAAGCUAUCCCUCGCUGCUAAGCUAUCCCUCGCUGCUAAGCUAUCCCUCACUACUAAGCUAUCUAUCGCUGCUAAUCUAUCGCUGCCAACCUAUCUAUCGCUGCCAACCUAUCUAUCGCUGCCAAUUUAUCUACCACUGCCAAUCUAUCUAUCGCUGCUAAUCUAUCGCUGCUGUCAAUCUAUCUAUCGCUGCUAAUCUAUCUAUUGCUGCUAAUCUAUCGCUGCUAAUCUAUUGCUGCUGCCAAUCUAUCUAUCACUGCUAAUCUAUCACUGCUAAUCUAUCGCUGCUGCCAAUCUAUCGCUGCUAAUUUAUUGCUGCUGCCAAUCUAUCUAUCGCUGCUAAUCUAUCGCUGCCAACCUAUCUAUUGCUGCCAAUCUAUCUAUUGCUGUCAAUUUAUCUACCACUGCCAAUCUAUCUAUCGCUGCUAAUCUAUCGCUGCCAACCUAUCUACCGCGGCGAAUCUAUCUAUUGCUGCCAACCAAUCUAUCUACCACUGCCAACCUAUCUAUCGCUGCCAAUCUAUCGCUGCCAAUCUAUCGCUGCCAACCUAUCUACUGCAGUGAAUCUAUCUAUCACUAUCAUUACUAGUUCAAAAUAGAACUAGAGCAUAAAUACACUAAACUUCUUUUAAUAGAUAAUGAUUUUUGAUAACACUCAUAGCAUUAUAUCAUCUAUAUAGGGUAAAUCAUGGUCCCAUUUGGUCCCAUUUUACAAAAUGAGAUCAAAUGAGAUCAGAAUCAGUGUAAUAGGCGCAACGGAGAUAUCUAUAUUAGAAAAUAGCUAUGUGGCGAUAGAAGAACACAGAACACGCCAG
rnacentral:sRNA from 1 species